UACGUAGGGUGCAAGCGUUGUCCGGAAUUAUUGGGCGUAAAGAGCUCGUAGGCGGUUUGUCGCGUCGGCUGUGAAAACUCGGGGCUCAACCCCGAGCCUGCAGUCGAUACGGGCAAACUAGAGUGUGGUAGGGGAGACUGGAAUUCCUGGUGUAGCGGUGAAAUGCGCAGAUAUCAGGAGGAACACCGGUGGCGAAGGCGGUUCUCUGGGCCUGUACUGACGCUGAGGAGCGAAAGCGUGGGGAGCGAACAGG
rnacentral:rRNA from 1 species